rnacentral:rRNA from 1 species
GACGAACGCUGGCGGCGUGCUUAACACAUGCAAGUCGAACGGAAAGGCCCUGCUCUUGUUGGGUGCUCGAGUGCCGAACGCGUGAGUAACACGUGAGUAACCUGCCCUUGACUUUGUGAUAACUUCAGGAAACUGGGGCUAAUACCGGAUAGGAGCUCCUGCUGCAUGGUGUGGGUUGGAGAGUUUCGGCGGUUGGGGAUGGACUCGCGGCUUAUCAGCUUGUUGGUGGGGUAGUGGCUUACCAAGGCUUUGACGGGUAGCCGGCCUGAGAGGGUGACCGGCCACAUUGGGACUGAGAUACGGCCCAGACUCCUACGGGAGGCAGCAGUGGGGAAUAUUGCACAAUGGGCGGAAGCCUGAUGCAGCAACGCCGCGUGCGGGAUGACGGCCUUCGGGUUGUAAACCGCUUUCGCCUGUGACGAAGCGUGAGUGACGGUAAUGGGUAAAGAAGCACCGGCUAACUACGUG